GCGGGGGGCAGACCGAAGUGAGGUAGGUGUGAGUGUGCUGCUCUCCGCCUUCCCUGCCGUCCCCGAAGCCUGGGGUCUCGGCCGCGCACCCCGACGGGUCCCGGGCUGCCUGCUUCUCAGAGGCCGAGGAACAAGCCGGGAGGACGCGUGUUUGCCCUUUUGUAUCUCAGGCGCCUCCGUGUUGGGGUUUCAUGCAGAGGCGCCCUUUCUCCUUGGUGGGUGCUCUUGGGGAGAAGGCGCAGCCGUCCUUGGGGGUCUUCUGCGUCCAGGGGCACGCGAGCUGGUAUCUUCUGUCUGUUGCUUUUCGAGGUGCCCAGCGCCGCUGCCCCCCCCCCGCCCCCAACCUUCCUCAGACGUUUCAGUGCCUGCGACCCUUGGCUCCCAGAGCUUUCGGACUGUACAAUGCUGCGUCGUUCUUCCGUUUGGAGCUCAGGUAGCUGCACUUUUUCCUGAUGCUCUUAAGGCUGUGAGCGACACUUCUUGGCAACGGGUCUCGGGGGCAGGUCACGCUCCCAGGCGUUGCUGGCAGUAGCGUGGGACACGUGGCCGGGCCGGGGCAGGGGGAAGCUAACAAGACCCCGUGUUUGCUGAGAGCACACCACCCUCCUCCUUGUUUCUCAUCUGGGAUUCUGGUCUUGUUGCUUCUCGUUUGUGCUGGACCGACGUGAGCAAGUCCUGGCCGAGGCAGGACACCCCGGAAACGCGAAACGUCCGUGCUCCUCAGUGCUGGCUGUGGAGUGGGGGGCCCGACAGCACGUGCGGCUGUGGACUAGAGGCUGAAAAUCUAGUAGGCACCUUUAUGAUAAGUUUCUGAGACCGAAGGCAAGAAAAACCGGAAGACGAGACCUGCAGGAGUCGAGGAAAGUGAGCUUCAUCCGAGCCGAGGCUGGCGCUCCUCGACCAUGAGCCGUGUCUUCCUGCGCCCUCCAGCAAGCCCCUGCUCCUGGAGGAAGGCACCGCGGGCGUCCGAAGCGUGUCCCCCCGUGGGUGCAAGUGAGACCUGCCUCAAGAGGGACCCCAGCACUGGUGCUGAUUCAGGAGGGGGAUGAGAAAAGGUGGUCAAAACACCUGAACUAAAACAUGCAAGAAACCACUUUGCUUCAGUGCCCAGAUGUUCGUCUGCGUCGGGCUGUAUGUAGCGUCUCGUCCCUGCACUGGGGCUUUCGGUGACAUCCCUUGGCUUAAAGCGGGGAGGACUGUCCCCACUUAAUGGGUUGUUCAAAUAGGGAUUCUCUUGAAAGGGAAAGGGAGCACCUUUAGGACCAGGAUGUGGGGCUGCCCUCUGUGUCCCCUCUUGGUGUGGGCACCAGACGUGGUUCCCGAGGGGUGGCUGUGGGCCGCAGGGACCUGCCCGUGUUCUUCCUGCGUUGUGGGGGAGUCUGGGUUGGAGCAGGUGGCAGGGAGCCAUUACCCUACAGUUGUGUGUGUGCACAGCCCUUGCAGUCAUUUCGACACCGACGCGAGCUUGUCGGCCGGAACUGUGGUUGUGGACUUCUGGGGACAGCGAUUUUGGCAAUGGGUGUUGUCCUUCUGUGGCUACCAGAAGUUUCCUCCACUUCCGUCCUCUCCCUGCCGGUCACUUAGGCUCCUGUGUUGCAUCCCUGCUCUGUGUUUUGGAAUCCCGUGUGCUAAUGGUUGGGAAGCUCAGACACGUGGGUGACUUUCCACGUGCUUGACAUUGUUCCAAGCACGUCACUGGCACUGAGCAGGUUUCGGAAAGCACAGCCGCCUUGUAAGUUUCCUGGGGCGUCUGGUAACGUAGCAGGUGCUUUGUGUGCGCAGACGGGCGCGCUGCGGACCCGGAGGGCAGUGGGCUUCCCGGGUCUUUGGGGUGAGCUAUGGGUGCAGGUUUCCCAGCUGGGGAGGGGGCGGCAGGAGCUGGGCAUGGACCGGGGACCUGUUCACCUCCCCCCCAUGGGCCCGGGCUCAGGGGCUCCGGUCACUCAGUUUCUCUGCCUCCGGCUUUCACAUCUAGAGUGUGGAAGACGUUGUCACGGGAGAAAAGGACUCUCGCCAGGUUGCUGUGGGAGUAAUUAGAACGUGUCAGCACUUCGAGCCACAGGGGGCUGGCCCUGACCUGCUCGCCUGUGCUUCCCAACGGGCCCGUGGGGCCCGGUCUAGCUCUGCGUGCGCCCUCCGGGAGCGUGCGGGAGAGAAGCUGGUGAGCUGCCCUGGCCCCAGGGGAGGACCGGCACCCGCUUGGGGGAGCCGGAGGCUUUGGGCGGGAGGAGAAGCCAAUCCGGCGAGCAGCUGCGCUUGGGACUGCUGAGCUGCCUGGUCCUAAUCGGUUGGGAAGCCAGGGAAGAAGCAGCUUCUGGAGUCCCUCAGCCCCAGGCCAUCAUGGCUGUGGUGGAACCCACGGGGAGCCCCCUGGGUGUGCAGGGAAGGCUGGGCCGUGUGGGGUCAUGGCUGGGGUCGCGGGGCCGGUGUGUGCGGGGACACGAGCUCCUCGUCAUGACGUCACGGGCGGCGGCUUGGCUUCUCUGCUCCUCCCAGGCCAGCGCGCGCGUGCGUGUGCGUGCGUGUGCGUGUACAUGCGCGUAACCUGCCGCUCCAGGCCCCGUUUUGUGUCCUGCCGUCCCCGGAAUGUACGGAAGUCUGUCAUCUUGGCCAAGAGACAGAACUCUCAGACCCACAUCCCAGCGCGGAGGGCUCUGAGCCGCCAGGAACCGGAGUCUCUGGUCCACCUCGGGUCCGAGCAGAAAGCACGGAAGGCCCCCAGGAAAGACCCCCCCCAACUAAACAAGAUGAGAGGAAAGGGGGCGUGAGUGUGGCACGGAACAAACGAUGCUGGGUUUAACUGGAACAUGCUCUAAUCUUGAGUUUAUUUCUGGUUAAAAAUAUAGCAAUCCAGUGCAGUGUAGUAAAGAAAUCUGCUCGAAAGGUAGCAGAGAAACAGCUAGACAUAAGCAAAGCAAGGCAGAGUCCAUAGCCGGGCUGUGUCCAGGACGGCUGUGGAAGCUCACGGUCAGGACCGUCCCAUGCGGGAGCGCGGCGGCCUGUGUAUGGACGUGGCCGUGCCCCAGACACGUCCAUACCCACGGGCCGCGGCUGGCUCCGGCGCUAGGACCACGGGGCGCCCAAACCUUCCGGAACCUUGUUCUUUCAUUGGGAUGACGGAGCGACGCCGGUCGAGAAGGCAGAACUGACUGAAACCAGUUAAUGUGGUGUUGGGACAGGGAGGGGCCACAACUGCUCAGGAAUUUUAAGCCACUGGGUUUCGCCCACAUUCCUGUCCUGGGACCAGACCAGCUCCAGAGCAUGAAUGCGGCAUCUGGAAGGAGUGAGCGCAUCUGGGGGUGUGGAGUGGCGGCCAGCACAGGACAGAGACGUGAGAACCCGUGUGUGUGCUUAGUGACCGCGAGAAAGGAUGGUGUCAACUGCCAUGACGUCUGAGGGGGACAAGGGGCCUGGGCACACUUUCUGCACGCCACGCGUAUCGAUGCCACACUCUGAGCCAGCUGUGCUGGCUGCGUGAGCCCACAGCGCUCCCUGCCCUCUGGUCCCUCCGCAGCCCUGCUUCCUGGGGGUCGGGGCGGGGGUGGGGUGGGGCAGGUCGGAGGCAGGAGUAUUAGGACUUUGCUUUCAGACUUGGUGGGCAGCUGGCCUCGCCGUGAAGGCCAGAGGAAGCAGAGGGCAGGGGUGGGGAAGGGAAGGGGCGGCAGGUCCCCGCUUCCUCAAGUACACAGCACAGAUUCCGACAGAGGCCCAGCUGCUGCCGGGGUGGGGGGGUCGGCGCGCCCUCUUCCCCACCGCGCGCCCACCCGGAUCACUCGCUUGCUCUUCCAGGACGCGGAGGAAAAGCAGAGGUAGCAGACUUCCCGCACGCGGCCUCGCAGCAGCUGCUUCCCGAUCUGCCGGGCACAGCUGGACGCGCAGGGGUCUCCCUCCGGCUGCCUCCGUUUCCAGUCCCAGGCAGGGUGUGACGGCGGCGAGGACGGUGGCCGUCUUAGUUUGUGGCCAUUGAUUUGCUGGGAUCCCUUUCUUUCCACACCAAGCUGGAGGGUCGGGGUGCUGGCCUCCUUCUGCCAUGCCACACAGCAUCGUGUUAUACAAGCAAAGAAUUUUGGCUAAAAUCCAAAAAACAUUACCCAGAAAAAAAGGCAAACUGUGAGUAAUACCCAAUCAUGUUCUGCGAAAAGACUCAGAAGGUGUGGCCGGGCCGUCCGAGUUGCGAUCCUUCCCUGUUGUCGUGGGUUACGUCCCUUGGUACACCGACUGUUGUCUUUGCUAAUGUGACAUCCCGUCAGAUGAAAAAGUUAAUAAACAAAAUGGCGACUCCGA